AUUGGUUAUGGCGACAUGACACCUCAUACUUACCUGGGACGUAUUAUUGGUUCUGUAUGUGCACUCACUGGUGUGCUGACAAUUGCUCUACCUGUCCCAGUAAGAAUAGCAUAAU
rfam:Thelazia callipaeda genome assembly, scaffold: TCLT_scaffold0000035